GAUUUAUGUUUAUGGUCUUCCAGCAGACAAAUUUAUGGGGACGUCUGGGGACCAGGCCUCUGACACAGAAUAAGCAUCAAUCUCUCCUGGAGACUGGUCGCGGGUUUAUUUCUGAAACUUGUGUGGAAUGAGGGAGCAAAUCUAGAGUGUUUAAGAUCUAAUAAUAAUCAUACACUUUAACACAUUCAAAUCAUGAUAUUUCAGGAGACAGCAACCUUGGCUUUGCUUAUAGCUCUAAGCAGGGCUGUUCCCAGAGGAGGACUGUCCUUCUGAGGAAAGAAGACACAGAGCUGGUUACAAUCCCAGGGAGGAUGUCUGCACAGAGAGUCCUCAUCUCUCAGAAAGAAAAAAUAAAAGCAUAAAAGAAAAAAAAAGGGCAGAAAAAAAAAUGGAGGGAAAAAAAGGAGCAACUAAGAGAGUUUGAGACAUAUAAUCUCCAAGGCCAAAAGGAAAGACAUAUAAUUUUCAAGGCCAAAAGGAAAUAAGGCAGGAAUUUGAUGGGUGAUUAAUGGCCGUGCUGGAGCAGUGGGAGUGGUGCUGAUGUCAGAGCCUCCAAGAAUGAUUCCUCUUUGGAAAGAGGAAAAGGCAAGUGGAUCCCAAAAUAGCCAUUUUUUUAAAAUCAAUUUUCUGAAACCUGUGAUAUUCUUCCUGGGUAAACUUGAAGCUCCAGAAAAGAGAUGGUCCCUCCUGGAAGAAGCAGUGAAUGGGCUUCCCUAGUCUCAAAUUCCAUUGGACUUACCCACCUACCAGUCCCAAAGGAUUGGCUGCAUCCCAGAACCUCCCUGGACCCUUUGUUUUCACAGCAGCUCCUAGGAAAGCACAUCACCCAGAGAGCUUCAUCAGUGACGAUCUGAAUGCGUUGUGCACAGAGGAGAUUUGACCAGCGGGAAGUUGGUCAAAUUCAUAACUGAAAUUCUAUGUGUUUUUUCUGUUAUAAUUGCAGUAAAAGAUGUACUUUUGCAGUCAGCCUGGAUCACUCCUGAGAAAGAGAAAUAAAUCCUAUGUGAAUUUCAUUUCUCAAAAGAAGGCAAAAGAGGAGACAUUAUUCACUGGAUGUUGGAGAAGAGAUGAAAAAAAUAAAGGAGAAGGCAGUUUAGCAAUGGGAUGGAGACAAAAAAGAAUCCUGUACUCACAAGAAAUUCAGGGGAUCUUCGUCCUCCUCUCCCCUUCAGAAAGAAGCGAGGCCUGUCUGAUAAGGAACAGGAAGAGUUGGACUCUCAUUGGUCACAAUUCUCCAUGCAGUAGGCUGGAUAAGCACUCGCAGGUUGUCAGCUUGAGGGGAACGUAUCAGAAUGCUGACUUUGGCUGCAGAUCCAAGCUAUGUUCUCCAACAGUUUAGUCGAUAUCUUCCUACCUCGCUGGAGCGUGUCUAAAUUGACACAAAACUUGCAGGCAAGAAAGUUCUGAUUAAGUACUCUCUGUAAACCUCAAGUGUGUCCUAAAAUACAUAGUAGCCAUUGAACUUGAGCAGCUGUGAUUCCUGAAACACACUAUGGACUGGCACUGGGCACAGCAGUCAAUAGUUUGGGGCCAGUGGUGUAAUUUGUUCUGUUAAAGGAGUGUGUAGAUGAGAGACAUUGGUGGUCUGGAGAAAUCAGAGAGUGUUCAGUGGAGACACAGCAAAGAAUGACUGAGCUCAGAGUGGCUGACGCAUCUAGACUUCCACUGUCCAAAAUAAGAGUAAUGUGGUUUGGCUGUGUCCCCACCCAAAUCUCAUCUUGAAUUGUAGUUAUUAUAAACCCCAAGUGUCAGGGGAGGGACCAGAUGGAGAUAACUGAAUAGUGGUGGUGGUUUCUCCCAUCCUACUCCUGUGACAGUGAGUUAGUUCUCACAAGAUCUGAAGGUUUUAUAAGGGGCUUCCCCCUUCCCUGGGCACUCCUUCUUCUCCUUGCUGCCACCAUGUGAAGAAGGACAUGUUUGCUCCUCUUCCAGCAUGAUUGUAAGUUUCCUGAGGCUUCCCCAGCCAUGCUGAACUGUGAGUCAGUUAAACCUCUUUCCUUUAUAAAUUACCCAGGCUCAGGUAAUUAUUAGCAGCAUGAGAAUGAAUUAAGACAGACAGCCACUAGUUGUACAUGGAUAUUAGAAUUCAAAUUCAAAUGUAAAAUAUUAAAUAAAAUAAAAACCUCAGCUGCUCAGUCUCACUGGUCAUAUUUCAACACUCCAUUGCUGCCGGGCACUGGUGGCAAUGCUAUAUUGGGAAGUGCAGAUGUAGAACAUUCCCAACGUCACAGAAAGGUGUAUGGACGGUGUUGUUGUUGAUGGCCAGGGAAGGACACAAGGGGAUGUUCUGGACGUGACCCUGUCACUAUGGUUCCUAAAAGAGCAAAGUCAAAGGGAUGUCCUUUCCUCUGCCAUGCUCCAGGCAGAAACAAAGACACCCAGAUACGCUCCCCACACUCGAAUGUCUUUAACUUCAUUUUACACAUGCAUUCCAUUGAACUCCACUGUUAUACCAUGUCACCCACCUGAAUCCAGAGCAAAUGUCUCAUGAUUCGUAAAAAUCACAUGAGAGAAAACCCCAGAACGCCUGAAUGGGGCUCCCUGUGAAAUCAAGUCUUAGUACAUUGAGUUUACUCCAAAUGUAUUUUGAAAACAGUGGUUUCAAUUGUUGUAAACUACAGAACACAUGGAGAAUCCCUGGAGAAACAGAUGUUAGAUUUUCUGAUAGCAGUAAAACAUCCCCCAAAAAAUCUUAUAAACAUGAACAAACUUGACUAAUAGAGUAUUUGGCAGUUAGGGAGAUAGGAAUGCAUGGUGGAUGUCAUCCGGCUUUCUAAAAUAGUGGCGUGAGUGUCAUUAAAAAAGAAAUAUUCUCUUAAAUAUCUGUUAUUUAGUUUUAAAAUGAAAAAUAUUGAAUAGUUAAACUUUAUUAAGUGUAAAACUGGUUUUUAGAGUGCUUUGGAAUAGUAGCUGUCAGGAAGCAAAACUUGAGAAGUCAUUGAAAGCAGCUGCUCCAUAAAAAAUAAUAAUAAGGGAAAAAAUCAAGAGGCUAAUUUUUAGGACGAGGUUCAUGGUGGAGCCCAUGGUUUCAUAUAAAAGGCUGUUGUUGGUCCUGGGCUCAUAUCCUGGGAAGCUCUAUAGCCACAGGCAGACCCAAGCCUGAUCCCCAAGGACCUGUGUUCUGUAAGUAGUUCAAACCAGACUCUGAGAAACUGGAGGCCCACACACUUGGUGUAGCUGAUCCACCUUCAAGCACUCUCUCUUAUCUCUUGUUGUUUUUUUUUUUUAAUGUGUGUUUAUAUUGGAAUUUUUUGCUAGAAUGUAAGAAGAAAAUGAGAAUAUGGGAUGAGGUAGUGGGAAUGACAAGCAGUUCAGAAGGCCCAAUUUUCUUUCCAAGGUACGGAAGGUACAUUUGGUUCAGUUCUCUAAGUAGUUCGAUUUUUAAAUUUUUUUUUUUUACAUGUAAGGAACUCAGGAGAGGUGGGGUUAAAAGCAAGAACUCACAGAAUAUAGUAGUCAUGUGUUACUGGACUCAGGAGAAAGCAUCUGUAAACAAGGGCUUAGAAAUGAAAGAGAUGGAAUCAUUUUAGCACAAGUUACUUUGACAUCCACCUGUUUCUCUUACACUGAGCCACACUUAGUAUCCAUCACAUUGGAGAAGAGAACCCAGCUUGUGGGCUUCAAGGUCAUUACAGCCCCUUCCUCCUUUUCUCACCUGCUACAUAUGAUUGGUUCAGACUCUGCCAUCAUCCUGAACACGUUCCACUGUGAACUUCCCUCUGUGGCUGUGUUUGACCUUCAAGCCCUGAGUCUCUGGAGAACAGGGCUGUGUGUAAUGCUUUGCCUCCUCAGCAAUCAGCACAUCCACCUUUUGUAGUAGAUUUCAUCAGAACAGACUAAUGAAUGAAGUGGCAUUAGAGGUACAUGAUAUGGUUUGGCUGUGUCCCCACCCAAAUCUCAUCUUGAAUUGUAGUUCCCAUAAUCCCCACAUGUUGUGGAAGGGACUCAGUGGGAGGUAAUUGAAUCAUGGGGGUGGUUACCCCCAUCUUGCUGUUCUCGUGAUAGUGAGUGUGUACUCACAAGAACUGAUGGUUUUAUAAGCAGCUUUUCCUGCUUUUGCUCAGCACUUCUUCCCGCUGCCAUGUGAAGAAGGAUUUGUUUGCCUCCCCUUUGCCAUAAUUGUAAGUUUCCUGAGGCCUCCCCAGCCUUUUGGAACUGGGAGUCAGUUAAACCUCUCUCCUUUAUAAAUUACCCAAUCUCUAGUAUGUCUUUAUUAGCAGUGUGAUAAUGAACUAAUACAGGAUAUUUCUCCCAGACCAAGAAGCCCAGGUAAGAGAGACAUGGUUGCUCAGUCAGCUUGGAGGAUUGCCUUAUGAUGCUGUGCGGGUAUUUACCUUCAGUCCUGGAAUCUUCUUUUUUUUCACAAUCCUACUCAAAAUCAUAACCAACUUGAAGAUGUAAUCAAGUGAUGACUGUGUGGUCAUCCAAUGCUAAGGGCCCAUAACUGCAGUGUAUACUUCAAGGUGUGGCUUCAACCCUGCCUGGGGUAUUUAAAAACAAAGCCAAUUUUCAGUGACUCUGUCAACCAAUAAAUUCUGUAAACAUAUUUAUUAGUCAUCGGCUGUGUGCCUAGAGUGUUUGCUCCAGGUCUCUCAUCCUGCUAGCUGUUAAGUUUCCUCAAGUAUAAAGAGCCAUAAUUUCCAAGGAGAAGUUGGCUGGCUAUUUCUUACAGGAGCACAAAAGAAAUGGCC
rnacentral:lncRNA from 1 species